rnacentral:rRNA from 1 species
UACGUAGGGGGCGAGCGUUGUCCGAAGUUACUGGGCGUAAAGCGCGCGUAGGCGGGUUCUUAAGUGAGGGGUGAAAGGUUUGGGCUCAACCCAAACACUGCCUUUCAUACUGGGAGCCUUGAGUGCGGGAGAGGCGAGUGGAAUGGUCGGUGUAGCGGUGAAAUGCGUAGAUAUCGAUCGGAACACCCAUGGCGAAGGCAGCUCGCUGGCCUGCAACUGACGCUGAGGCGCGAAAGCGUGGGGAGCAAACAGG